rnacentral:rRNA from 1 species
UGGGGAAUUUUGGACAAUGGGCGAAAGCCUGAUCCAGCAAUGCCGCGUGUGUGAAGAAGGCCUUCGGGUUGUAAAGCACUUUUGUCCGGAAAGAAAUCCUUGGCUCUAAUACAGUCGGGGGAUGACGGUACCGGAAGAAUAAGCACCGGCUAACUACGUGCCAGCAGCCGCGGUAAUACGUAGGGUGCAAGCGUUAAUCGGAAUUACUGGGCGUAAAGCGUGCGCAGGCGGUUUGCUAAGACCGAUGUGAAAUCCCCGGGCUCAACCUGGGAACUGCAUUGGUGACUGGCAGGCUAGAGUAUGGCAGAGGGGGGUAGAAUUCCACGUGUAGCAGUGAAAUGCGUAGAGAUGUGGAGGAAUACCGGUGGCGAAGGCAGCCCCCUGGGCCAAUACUGACGCUCAUGCACGAAAGCGUGGGGAGCAAACAGGAUUAGAUACCCUGGUAGUCCACGCCCUAAACGAUGUCAACUAGUUGUUGGGGGAUUCAUUUCCUUAGUAACGUAGCUAACGCGUGAAGUUGACCGCCUGGGGAGUACGGUCGCAAGAUUAAAACUUAAACGAAUUGACGGGGUCAUAGCUGUUUCCU